UGCAGUAUGCUGGUCACUUCCAGUCUGUGAUUUGCUGGUCUGUGGUUUGCUGGUAUGUGGCCACUUCCGAUCCAGCAGCCAGCCCUCUUGUGGAAUGGCAGACAACCCUUCUCAGCCUGGCACUAGGCCACAGCCCAGGAGUUGGGAACCCAUGAUAUACAGCAGUAUUUCUCAAUCUUGUUAGGCUCAAGGCACCCACUGGAAAAUGGCAGCUCUUGGUUUUCACUUGCUUUUUGACUAUGAAAAGUACCAUAUUUUCUCACAUAUAGCACACCGUGAAAUAAGUUAUGCCCCUUCUUUUUGAAGGCAGAAUGAAAUAUAAAAGAUCUUUCCUUGUAGUAAGUAACUAAGUAGCAGCAGGUAGGGAGCUGAGUCUGCUCCUUGUUCUGUUCCCUAUGGAUCACAUGCAGUUACUGUUGCUUUAGCCUGGCAGAAACUUACACUGAAGAAGCUGCUGUUACCAUAUUUUCUUGAUUAUCAUGUGCACCCCAAUUUCCAGCAGCUUUUUUUUGGAAAAAGAGUGUGUGUUGUAUUUGAGAAAAAUCUGGUGAUAGAACAGUUCUGUUGCAAAGAACCCAGAAAGGUCAGAAAUGUUUUUGACACUGUGGAAUCUUAUUUGAAAUCUCUGAGUUAAUCAUGAGUAGGUAUCUGUGAACAUAACAGUUCUAAUAUUGCAUAUUACCCACAGCACACUCUACAAGAUCUUGCAGCACUCCAGAGUAUCACAGUCUCCUGGUUGAGAAUUGCGAAUGAAGAGAGUACUGUUUGCCUCUACCAUGGUGUCACUAGACAGGAAGAUGCUACUUUUCAGAAAUUUAAUGAUGUGUCUUAACCUAUUGUUUUAAGAGACAUCAUAGUACUUCUUUUGUUAAUGUGUUUUCUACUGUAGGUGUCUCCAGCAGGAGAGAUACCAGCACUUUUACAUAACUCCUGUUUUAGAUCUGGCAGGGGGAGAGCGUCUAUUAUCUACCUCUGAUGCUUAUGAAGCACUAGAAUGGUAACAUCACAUGAAGCUUGGUUCAUUAAUAACAGGUUUAUUUUACUCAUAACAGCCCUGCUAAUACCAAGCAAAACGUCAUUAAAAAUGCAGACUUCUUCUCAAUGUGAAGUGGUAGCUUCACUUUUUGCACUCCCAGGCCCUUUUCCUGAGCAAAGAAAUGUUUGGCAAGGUAAAAAGACAGUUUUCUUUCCUUACUUAUGCUAAUUUAGAUUUAAAGUAGUGAGGAGAACUUUUUAGUUAUUUACUGACCGUUAGAUCUUUAAGGAUAAGGUGUAUACCCAGGUUCCCAAUAACUAAUACAAUUCUUAGGCCUUGACCUUGCAAAGACUUGGAUACACACAUAAUGUUAAGCAUGUGUAUAGGGCUUUCUCGUACGUUUAGAGUUAAGUAUAUGUCUUUUGUAGGAUUAGGCGCUAAAGCUUGUUUUUGGUUCAAUAACAUAUCAAAGAAAUGUUCAUAUAGAUUCUUACUGAUUCUUUUAUUCUGCCUUAUAGUAAUAACACAGCCACUUUGCCUAGUUUAUAUACAUGGUUCAUAAGUACCUUGAUGGUGGAUACAUUAAAUAUCCACAAAUAUCACUCAAAACUAAUUAGAAAUUAUUAGGGCUUUGGUGUUAUAUGCCUCUUCAUAAUAGUAAACAUUCUUUGGAUCAUGUUUUAGAGUCAUCCAACAGAGCAUCCUGUUUCCAAGACAUUUAGUCUUUAUGGGGAUAGUAUUUCAUUUAAUUAUCAUUCAGGGAUUUACUUCUUUUGAUUGAAAAGAUUGUAUGAAUAGGAAAUGGUCUUUCUGGCAUUUGUUUUGUGAAAGAGUGGUAUCUCUGUGACAGUUUGCAGCACCUCAAAGCAGUUUGAUAAUUUCAAGGCAUGGUGACCCCAUAGCUCAGCAUUGCUCAGUAGGUGUGUGGACUCCAGAUACCCCUCAACAAAAGAUCCAUGUGCUAAUUACCACCCCUCCCACACACACACACACACACACACACUCAUGACUGGAACCAGGUGUUCUUGUCUUGAGUCCCAGGGUCCUACAAAAUUUGUAUGCAGAUGAGGUACAGGACAACAUAGUCUGGCUCCACAUCAUGGAGGGUUAGGCCACACUAAUCUCAUGUGACGGGCUGAGGGGGAGGGGGAUGACAGAGGGAUUCUGAGUGAACUGUUUGGGGCCAUAUUUUAUGACAUUUGCCAGAAAAAGAAAUAAUUGGAAAUGGGAAUGAAAGGCACAGUGCAGUUAUGGGAAUUGUAACAGAGUCACGUCUGCAACUUUGUUACUAAGAAAGGUCGACAGCUGAGGAUAGUUGCCAUGGCAGGGAAAAGGCACACCACACCCUCAAGAGCCAAUGCGGCUCUGGAAGGAGGAAUAAGAAGGGGAGAAAGCUGGAGAGAAGUUGCCUUCAGGCACCUCCAUAUUGAGAGAAGCAGGCGAGGAGCCCAGUGGCAAAGGAUUUGAAGGAAGGUCCAGAGGCAGGGACUCACCACACAGACAACAACAGGACUGGUGGAUCGACCCGUACCUCGAGUUUGCUAUCUUCCUGAAGAAUUCAACUGCUGCGGUGAGUCCCGGGGAAUGGAGUGACAGCGUGAUGAAAAGCCGCGGCUCCGAGUCAAGAUGCGGUGGGGCUGCCCGGGAGAAAGGGGGCGUGGGGAGGAAAUGCCUGACCCUGCCCAGGAGAAACGGGACCCCAAUCACUCACCUGGAGAAAGAGAAAGGGUGAGUAAGAAAGAAAAAAGAAGGGGGAACUGGGAAAGAGCUGCGCUCUGUAUGCUGGCACAGAACGCUGCUGGGAAAGCCUGGUAUCAGCGUUAAUCAGCUGCUAAUGAGGCAAUUAGUGGCUGAUCACUGAAACUACUUCUAAUACUUACCAUCUGAACCAGAUGAUAAGGAUCCCCGGAACACUGGAGAGCCCUCGGUGGUCGGUCUGGCGAACUGCUCCUUUUUCCCUGGUGUUCCUAGAGAGAGUGGGUUAGAUCCGAUUAAGAAUAAUAAAGCACAUGAAUCAGACAUCGAGCCAGCAUGGUCCUUCCCAUGGGUACCCGCAUUAAUAACAUCUCUUCCCUCCCCCAAAUUUGUUUAAAGAUUGAAGUCGUGGCAGGAGAGAAUAGCAGGAUGCGGGGGUACCUGGUUCAGAUCCAUUGACAGGAAUGAAGAGGAAGUAAAAAAGUAUUCAAUAUAGUGGCUCACCAUGACUUGAAAAAGAGUUGGUGCUGAAGAGAGAUGUGCUCCAUGGGGACUACUAUAUAUAUCAUUCAAAUGGGCUACACUAACCUGUUCCUGUGAUAAAUUUCUUUUGGCACAUUCACCCAAUAUGGUCCAGUUGUUUAAUGGUCAUGCUUAGUGUUUGUCGACUCUUAGUCAACUUCAUAGCUGGUUCUUAUUACUGUGCACAUGCUGCUUUUGACAGCAAUUUAAUGAUAGACAAUAUUUAUUGAGUUUUCUUUGCAUAAGAUGUUGGGGGGAGAAAAAUCUCAUCUUGUAUUCGAGUAAAUAUGGUAUGUAACUAAAAUGCGCGUAAUGCAAACUAGUCGCAGUAUCCCCACAGAUUUUUAUAGCUUAUAUUCAUUAUAUAAUGCAACAUAACUCCUUGUCACAGAAGUAAUAAAUUAAAGUUAUUCAAAUUAUUGGGAAAGGUGUAAAAACAUGCAAACAUUUUUUUCUGUAAAAACAAGUAGGUACAAUGUUAGCCACCAUAGAAUAUACAAAGAAAUGUCAGGUGAAAUCAUUUCAACAUGUUCUAGGGGUUUAAAAAGAGCAUCCUACUGGAUUUAAGAGCACAGAUAAUCAAUAUUCCUUUCAGAAGUGAAUGCUAAGUCACAAAAGUGAGCUCAGGAGGAUUUUUUUAACAUAUAACAACAUAUUGUAUUCUCUAAUAAGGUCCAUCAUAAUCUAAGAACACCAUUUUCAAGAAAAGUAUUAUAUUGUUAUUAUUAUUAUUUAGAAAUAAAGAUCCCAAAUUAGUGAUUUGUCAGUAUAGAUCCCUUGGAGGAUUAGUAUUCACUAAAUGCUCAUCAAUAGAAUCUCUUGCUCAUAAAAACAAGCCUUAAAUUUUUCAAUAAAUAUGUCCCAUUAGCAACUGUUCACUGGUUAAUUAUGUCUCACAGAAGAUUUUACUGUUUCUUUGUGUGUGCUCUUCUCUCUCACAUCUCAUAGCAAAGAUAUCAUUAGAACAUCUGGGAGGACAGUAUGACAGAUAGCAACAUCCUCCUUGUGCAUUGUGCUUUUACCUGCAUGUGUCCCUUGACAUGCUUAAUUAGGAUGCAAAGUACCUUUCCUACUUCUAUUCCUAUGUACACCCAAACUAAACGAGCUAAGUUAGUGAAGAAGCAGAACAUAUAAUAGCUCAGGUGUCUGGGCAUUUAGGACCAUAUUCAUCUGUGGGAACAAUCAAUUGAUUUUAAGUUCCUUGGGGCUGAGGAUAUCCCUUAAUUUUUUUUGCAGCAUGAAAAACUGUGUUCAUUAGAUAUAAAAUAAUAUACAGAUAAAUUUGUCAUGCAUUAAUUUUGGCUGUAAUUUAUUUUAGGAUUGUGACUCCACUAUUUGAAAUGUGCAACUUUGUACCAUGGGAAGGAGCUACUAAUGAUUUUAUGAAAUUCUGAUCAAAACACCUGGAUGUAAACAUGAAAAGGAUGCCAAGAGAAGCCAAGUAGUCUUGGCUGGAGGAGUGUAGUUGAAUUCUGCACAAUUUUGAGGCUUUCUACAUAGAGAGAGGCUUCACUAGAAAAGAGUCAAGAAAAGAAACUGGCAGCAUGUGGAACAGGGGAGUGGCCACAAUGCCACCUACUUGAAUGAUGAACUUAUAUGAGUGAAGCCAGAAUAGCUAUAAAUGGAAGGUCCAUUUCAUAUGGAAUGCUUGAGACAAAUCUAGCAAAUCAAGAAAAUCCAGAGCACAUGUCAGUCCCUCAUCUUGUGCUAGAGCAAAUCUUCCAUUUUGGUCAGUGGAUGUUCUUCCUGAAUAAGAAAACCAGGAUCCAGCCCACAAUGAGUGAACCUUUUUGUGUCAGACCAGUUCAGGUAAUACAAGAGCAAGAUGUUCAUCCAAAUGUCAGUCAGAACCAGUACAAAAUGGUUUGAAUAUCAUAACAAGUUUAGUAAAUGGGAGUGGGGAGGGAAAAAAAGGUGUCUGUAUUUGCUGGAUUUGAUCAGAAACAGAUGCACUUAACAUACCGCAGAAUUAUGGUUCUCAUAGUUUUUCUAGCAUUAGAGAAAUUAGGAGGAAUGGAAAAGCUAAAUAAAAGCGUGUGAAUCUGGUUAGGUGGUGGAAGGGCCUAGUUAGGCUAGACAUUAAGGGCACCUAUACAUAUGCCCAAAGCCUGCUCUGAUGUGUGCUAAUUAGUAUACGAACAAGCAGACUCAAUUAAUUAAGCAGCAGCCUCGAUGUCGCAUGUAUUCAGCAUCCCUGUGUUUCAAAAUGGUGGCAGGGGUGCUUUAACUAAAGCUUGUCAAAUGAGCUUUAGGUAAAGAGCCCCUGCCACCAUUUUGAAGUGUGGGACGUUGAGUACAUGAGAUGCUUCAGGCACUUUAUUUAGAGUGGUUCUCUAAUUAAAUUUCACUCCCCCCACCCCCACUCUGGAGCAUGUGUAAAGAUGCCUUAAGUGUCAACUGGCAGCCAAUAGGAUUAAAGGGAUAAAAGAGACUGUUUUUUUUCAAAGUCAGUGCUAAGGGAGUAAUAAGCUAUCUCUCUCAGUGGGAUAGUAUAAAUUGUUAAGUAUUCAAUUGCUUUUCAUGCAGAGCACUAGAGAAAAUGCUAAUGUGCACCUGCCCAGCAUUAUCUUUCAUAUGUCUGUCUUGCCCUUGUAUACAUUGCUAACCUGGCACAGUGUAUCAGGAAACCUGAACCCAUUCCUUCCACUGUUUUCUACUGCUAAUAAUGUCCUCCCCCUUACUUUUGGGCUGUUUUAUACUGUGACAACUGUAGGUGUUAUAGUGUUUGCUGACACUGCCCUGAGCUCGUUUUCCUACAAGCGGUGACAGGGUGGACCUAAGCUUCGAACCACCUGCUCUGCCAGGAAGCUGGUCUUAUGUUUCUCGCCUGCCAUGACUUUGAUGAUAUUAUGUUUCUAGGAGGCAGUGCCCAAGGUGAUCCUACCUGAUCUCAAUCCCUGUUUUUUUCUGUGGGGCUCCAAAACUCCCCUUUACCCUACCCUAGCCUCUCCAGAUAACACUUGUAGUUCUCUGCAGCCAGAUCUUAAAACUGCCCACUGGUCUAUUCUUCCACCCUCAGCCACCAGGGUGACGGUUGGUUUUAGUUAGGCACACAUCCUUCCAGGGCUGGCCUUGGCCUGCACUCAAAUAUCCAAAAAAAAAGAAAGCAAAACCUGACUGUUCUUAGUCUCUUUAUCAGACUCAGUCCAUGUCCCUUUCACCUGGGGUCAGGCUGUCAUGUCCAAAUCAUAACAAAAAAAUCAGUUAAUCCAGUCACUGCUCUGCACAAGCCUGCCCCGGAUUCCUCUGUGGUGGGCCGGCAUCAGGGAUGAUGCUCAAGGGCAACCAGCACGGUUUCAUUAGGGGCAGGUCAUGUCAGACCAACCUGAUUGCCUUUUAUGAUCAGGUCACAAAAGCAUUGGAUGCAGGUGUCGCCAUGGAUGUAGUCUUUCUGAACUUCAGCAAGGCCUUUGACACUGUUGACCACCCCAUCCUCAUUAAAAAACUAGGUGACUGUGGCAUCAAUGCCUACACAGUCAGAUGGAUUGUGAAUUGGCUGAAGGGUCGUACUCAGAGGGUGGUGGUGGACGGGUCAUAUUCGACCUGGGGGGAAGUGGGCAGCAGAGUCCCCCAGGGCUCGCUCCUUGGGCCUGCACUGUUCAAUUUCUUUAUCAGCGAUUUGGACGAUGGGGUGAAAAGCAACCUGUUUAAAUUUGCUGAUGAUACCAAAAUUUGGGGUGAGGUGGGCACGUUAGCAGGGAGGGAAAGACUGCAGAAAGACCUGGAUAGGUUGCAGGGGUGGGCUAACAAAAACACGAUGCGUUUCAAUACUGACAAGUACAGGAUGCUGCACUUAGGCAGUAGUAACCGGCAGCACGCUUAUAAGAUGGGAAACCCUUCUUGAGAGCACGGAGGCAGAAAGGGAUCUUGGAGUCAUCCUUGACUCCAAGAUGAACAUGGGCCGACAAUGCGAGGUCACAGUCGGCAGGGCUAACGGGACCUUAUCAUGUAUCCACAGGUGCAUCUCAAGUAGGUCCAAGGAGGUGAUCCUCCCCUUUCUACAUGACACUGGUCAGGCCACAGCUGGAGUACUGUGUCCAGUUCUGGGCACCCCACUUCAAGAGGGAUGUGGACAACAUUGAGAGGGUCCAGAGGAGGGCCACCCACAUGAUCUUGGGACAGCAGGGCAGACCCUACAAUGAGAGGCUACGGGACCUGAACCUGUUCAGCCUUCACCAGAGAAGGCUGAGGGGGGACCUGGUGAUCGUCUAUAAACUCACUAGGGGGGACCAGAUGGGUUUGGGGGAGACCUUGUUUCCCCUAGCGCCCCCCAGGAUAACAAGGAAUAACGGCCACAAGUGUUGGAGAGUAGGUUCAGAUUAGACAUCCGUAAGAACUACUUCCAGUUAGGGCGGCUAGGAUCUGGAACCAACUUCCAAGGGAAGUGGUGCUGGCUCCUACCCUGGGGGGUCUUUAAGAAGAGGCUUGAUGCCUACCUGGCUGGGGUCAUUUGAGCCCAGUUUUCUUGCUGAACAGGCAGGGGGUCAGACCUGAAGAUCUACAAGGUCCGUUCUGACCCUACUUCUAUGAUUCUAUGAUUCUCAUGAGCAUUCACAGCCCCAGUGGGAUCUCUCCCACGUGCAGUGAGGCUCUAACCUGAAACGAGCAAUUCUUGUGGCCUCUCCCCCAGAUCCUCAGCUGUCACUCUGCUCCAGUGAUUAUCAGAAGCCUUGUGUGUGCAGGCCUCUGCCUGCCUCCUUCUCAGGGUCAUACCCACAGUGUUUCUCUGGCAGGUUUCGCAACACUUGCCUGCCAGGUGCUCAGCCACUCCUCUCUCUGUGGUUCACAGGGAAUCAACCCCACUCUGCCUGUCUCUGGGGCCGGAAAUACCUCUGAGUAGCCUCCCUCUUCCAAUCCGGAGUGAGAUGCUGCUCUGGAAGUGUCGUGAUUGCUUCUCUUCCCUUCUGGUCUCCAGCUGCGGCCCUGCCGGCCUUCCACGCAAUAAGUGUUGCUUGCUUUCACUUUCCCUGUCUGUUGCUGCCAGCUGCUUUUCUUCUCCUGAUCUCACCUGCCCAGCAUGUAAGGCACCUCAGGGCUUUUGUUUACUUUCUCUCACUCCUUCACAUAUACAUUGCACUUCUAAAAGGAUAUAAGUUUCCAUUUAUGAAUCGAAACUUUCAAUAGGAACUUCAAUUAGAAUAAAGUAUCCAGAAGGGCUAUUCCAAGAAAGUGUUAACAUGAGCAUGAUUUGAACACCCAAUAUAUGGAAAUACAGCAUACAGUUAAGUGUCCUGUACUUUUUCUCUUGAGUAAUGUGGCAUAUGGUAAAUUCAUUUAUUUUAUUGUAUGUUAAUAGCAUAUUCCAUGAAUGAAGAAUUCUAUGCACAUAAACUGCUUUCAGAAUGGCUGAAACCAAUUUAAAAUAAACCUAUAUGGAUGCAGUAUCAGUUUUAA